AAUAGCUUCUCUCAGAAUAAGUGAAUCCAUUCCAGGCCGACAUUCCUCGGCUGCUGUGUGCUAACAGUCAGCCACGCUUUCCUGCAAAACCUGCGCAGUUUUAAGCUCGCUGCUCCUUUGGGUCGCGUGGUCAGGCGGAGAUGUGAUGACGCAACGUAUCGGCUGGCGGGCUAGAUGCGAGUGCGUGGACCAAGUCGACCGAGUGGGUCUGAGGCGCAUCGUUGAAAUCGCAGUGCAAGAGCCGAAUGCGUUUUGCAGCAAGACAGAGAUCAUACUCACUCUGAAGCAGAACGGCGAGGUGUGUCUGAACCCAGACUCAGAACAGGGCCGAAACAUCCAGGAAUGCUGGAGGAGCCAUGACAUGGACCCA